CCCUUAGAUGUUCUGGGCCGCACGCGCGCUACACUGACGAAUGCAACGAGCUUAUAACCUUGGCCGAAAGGUCUGGGUAAUCUCCAAAUUUCGUCGUGAUGGGGAUAGAUUAUUGCAAUUAUUAAUCUUCAACGAGGAAUGCCUAGUAAGCGCAAGUCAUCAGCUUGCGUUGAUUACGUCCCUGCCCUUUGUACACACCGCCCGUCGCUCCUACCGAUUGAAUGGUCCGGUGAAGCGUUCGGACCGUGGCCUUUGGACGGUUCGCCGUCUGUUGGCUGCGGGAAGUUCGUUAAACCUUAUCAUUUAGAGGAGGGAGAAGUCGUAACA
rnacentral:rRNA from 1 species